AUUAUUUAUAGCCUCUGGCUAUAGGAAAUUGUUAGUGGCAGACGGGUGAGUAAUGCGUAGGAAUCUACCUAGUAGUACGGAAUAGCCAUUAGAAAUGGUGGGUAAUACUGUAUAAUCCCCGAGGGGGAAAGAUUUAUCGCUAUUAGAUGAGCCUACGUUAGAUUAGCUAGUUGGUGAGGUAAUGGCUUACCAAGGCUAUGAUCUAUAGCUGGUCUGAGAGGACGAUCAGCCACACUGGAACUGAGAUACGGUCCAGACUCCUACGGGAGGCAGCAGUGGGGAAUAUUGGACAAUGGGCGAAAGCCUGAUCCAGCUAUGCCGCGUGAGUGAAGAAGGCCUUCGGGUUGUAAAACUCUUUCAAUAGGGAAGAUAAUGACGGUACCUAUAGAAGAAGUCCCGGCAAACUCUGUGC
rnacentral:rRNA from 1 species